UACGUAGGUGGCAAGCGUUGUCCGGAUUUACUGGGCGUAAAGGGUGCGUAGGCGGACAUUUAAGUCAGAUGUGAAAUACCCGAGCUUAACUUGGGUGCUGCAUUUGAAACUGGGUGUCUAGAGUGCAGGAGAGGUAAGUGGAAUUCCUAGUGUAGCGGUGAAAUGCGUAGAGAUUAGGAAGAACACCAGUGGCGAAGGCGACUUACUGGACUGGAACUGACGCUGAGGCAUGAAAGCGUGGGGAGCAAACAGG
rnacentral:rRNA from 1 species